UCCUGUUUUGCUAUGACCGAGCCCCAGGUUGCCUCUUCAGAUGCCACCAACAUUGAGGCUUCCAUCAGAGAGGAGGACAGCUUCUAUGUCAUAAACGGUCACAAAUGGUGGAUCACAGGCAUCCUGGAUCCUCGUUGCCAACUCUGUGUGUUUAUGGGAAAAACAGACCCACAUGCACCAAGACACCGGCAGCAGUCUGUGCUCUUGGUUCCCAUGGAUACCCCAGGGAUAAAAAUCAUCCGGCCUCUGACGGUGUAUGGACUGGAAGAUGCACCAGGCUGUUUCCUGCCGUCCUUUUCCCUUUAACCAUGUCCCAGUAAGAAGGCUAAAUAAAGGGCAGGGACAUUGCCAGCAGAUAACCCAGACUGAGGUGAGGAAUAAACACAUCCAAGGAAAAUGACUAUGGCUAUUGCUCACAGUGAUCGUUUGGGUCUUUCAGGUGGCCAUGGUGAAGUCCGAUUUGAGCACGU
rnacentral:lncRNA from 1 species